rnacentral:misc_RNA from 1 species
AUCUGCGGUGAAAUAGAAGGAGUAGCCUGUGUUCUUCUCUCCAGGUGAGUGGUUUUCACACACACUUACUUACAGGUUACCUGAGUGACCUACUACCACUGCCUGUCUAUCCUCUUCUUCACUCCUAAACAUUUUUUUCUUACUCUGAAGGGAUGGGCUCCAGGGCAAUAAAACUAAGAUGAGCUCACUUGAUUUUAAUCUCAUUUUUUGAUAGAAACAUAAAGUGGAGAAGUGAGACUGAGAUCAAAGUGAGCUUGUCGAGGUCUUUUAGCCCGAGAAUCAUUUUAUCCUUUCCAGAUCUAUUUGACAUAUUGUUUUUUGAUUUCUCAGACAUGGGCGUGGCCACAAGAUAAACCCGACCAAUGUGAACUACCGGGCCAACCUGUGGGCCCUCCACCAGGUGGGCUGUACCCACCUCCUGGUUACCACCGCAUGUGGCUCCCUACAGCCGGACAUGCACCCUGCAGACAUUGUGGUCAUCGACCAGUUCAUUGACAGGUGAGGUACAUCUGUUGUUGUUAAACCAGGCAUCUUGCUUGUAUUUGACACAGUAAAUGCAAAAAUAUUUGUUGGGUAAAAAAUUACAUUUCAUGAGCAACAAAAUUACACCAACAUUUUUGUAUGGUUAUUUGUUUGUUAUUGUUAAUUUUAAAAAGUGAAUCUGAACCUUUUAAAGCCAUUUUAGAUCACAAAACAACACAAUUUGCCUCCCCCCAUGUAAUGUAAUGUAUGCUUUUACAGUAUUUGAUUAUUGUGUCUAACUAAUGCCUCUAGCUUUACAUAGAACACAGAAACGCCAGCAGACAUUCUUUGAUGGUGAGCCCACAUCUCCCCCCGGGAUUUGCCAUCUACCAAUGGCCGAGCCAUUCUGUCCCAGAACAAGAAAGAUUUUAUACAACUGUGCCAAAGAGCUCAGUAUAUCCUGCCAUGAGAAGGGAACCAUGUUGACAAUAGAGGGUCCACGCUUCUCCUCCCGGGCCGAGAGCAAGCUGUGGAACUCCUGGGGGGCACACUGCAUCAACAUGACAACAGUACCCGAGGUCUCCAUCAACUACUCCCUCCCUAUUUCUGCCCUCUAUCUCUCCCUCCUUUCUCUAUCUCUUUUCCCCCCUCUUCUUUCUCAUUCAAUGCUUUGCAUCAACAUGACAAUACAAUAGUACCAGAACUCUCUUUCUCCCCAAACCCCCCUCUCUCUCUCUCUCUCUCUCUCUCUCUCUCUCUCUCUCUCUCUCUCUCUCUCUCUCUCUCUCUCUCCCCUUCAUGCUUUGCAUUAUAAAACAGUAUCUGAGAUCUACCUCUUCUUUUCUCUCCUUCUCUUUUUUUCAUUUUGAAAUCAUUGCAGUGUAAUAUCAAAAGGUGAUAUCAUGAUGAAUAAUAAAGAAUUGGUUACUCCAGGUGAUCCUGGCCAAGGAGUUAGGAUUGUGUUAUGCAGCACUCGCCCUGGUAACAGACUACGACAGCUGGAAGGAUGACGAGGAAGCGGUGAGUUUAAUUGGAGAAAGUCAUGAGUUUAACCUGAGGAAGCGGUGAGUUUAAUCUGAGGAAGCGCUAAGUUAAAUCUGAGGAAGCAUAUACAUGUAGUUAAAUCUAAGGAAGCGGAGAGUCUAACUCAGUAAAAUAUUUAAUGUUUAUUCAGAAUCCUCCAACAUAUGGAGAUCAUCAGCAAAACAGAUGUUAUUUUCUUCUAGAACUCUUUUAGUGAAGGAAAUUGCUCUUUGAUAAAAUUCCACUUGUUGAUUGGUUUUGUAAUGGCAGUUUAUGAGGACAAAGAUUUAGGGCUGUGAGUAUUUUUGGAUUGGUGCAUGUAGAUCUGUUAAAGAUGAGGCUGUUGUAUUACAGGUGAAUGUAGAGAAUGUGAUGAAGACAUUCCAGACCAACGCCGCCAACGCCACAGCUGUGAUCCUGAGGGCGAUCCCACAGAUCGUGAAGGAGGACUGGGCAGCUACCAUAGAGGAAAACAAGGUAAAGGGGAGAUAACUUGUCAAUGAGGAGUCUGUGCAUCAAGAAGCAUAACUUUGUUUACAAAUCUUUUACUUUCUGCUCAUUACCUGUACGUAGAAAAUACUGUAAAUGCUUUACUUUUGUUUACCAUGUAAUGAUUUUUUAAUGUCUUCUUUUCAGAAAUUUGUCAAAAUGAAUACGCUCCUUCCUCACAGCUACUAGAAGUCAACGUGUUAAUUCUGAUUUCUGACUCAUAUUUAAUCAUUGUGCAUCGUUGUAAUGUAAUGAUCUGACAGCAAAACUUUGUUAAUAAAAUCUCAUUAUCAC